rnacentral:tRNA from 1 species
UGCGCCUUUAGCUCAGUUGGUAGAGCAGUAGACUCUUAAUCUAUUUGUCCAGGGUUCGAAUCCCUGAAGGCGCAU